CCUCAUGCCUCCAUAAAUAUAGUACAAAUCUUACUGUAUUCAAGCCUGAAGCUGUAGCUCUGCAUGCUGUUAGACUCAGAAAACAAGCAGUCUGCUGACAUCAUCAGAAGUGGUAGCCUGAUCCAAUCACAGUGCUUCCCCAUAGGAUUGGCUGAGACUGACAAGGAGGCAGAUCAGGGGCAGAGCCAGCAUGAUUCAAACACAGCCCUGGCCAAUCAG